rnacentral:lncRNA from 1 species
GAAGGUCAAGGAAUCACUGCUGCGGGCCAAAUACGUAAGGUCAUUCAGGGACGAUUAAAGGCAUAAUGUGAUGUUUGGUGUUAUUGCUAGGUAGAUGGUUGAGAGGUAGGAUCAUGCUUGAACUUUGUAAUGAUGAAUGACUAUGACAUGCCAUCUUAUGAAACUUGUUGCUGCUGUGAUGUUUGCUGCUUGUUGCUACUAUGAUGUUUGUUGUUAUUGCUGAGGUAGAUGCUUGAGAGGUGGGAUCGUGCUUUGAUUUUGGUAGCUGAUGGUACUAUCUGGCAAAUUAGGAUAAGUAAGAACAAUGGUUAUGAACUUGGUAGUGACGAAUGGCUAUGACAUGCCAUCUGAUUCCAGCAUAUUUACCAUUCAUAAUUCAGAUACGCUGCAUAAUUGAGGAGCACUAAUAAUAUAGUUAUUGGUAGUAUAUAUACAAAUGUAUUAUCUAAUAAUACAACGGGCGACAUGGUUGUUACAAAAUGAAAGAUCACUAAUCUACUCAUAGCUAGGUAACAACCAUUUUCCUCGUGACCAAAUCCAGUUCCCAAGAACCUACGUAAUGUGGAUUGUAGGAUCAUUGUUGACACCAGCCACAUUUCUUAGUCCCUACUGGUAGAUCCAGUAUUGCUCCUUUUCAUCAUGCUGAUCAGUUCCUAUGAAGUAAAUGUGAUUUUCCUUCAGGUUAGGCAAUCACAAAUGGUAUGCUCUUGUACAACAAUGCACUUGCCCGGUCCAAACAGGAUGAUCUUAUUCUGGAACUCUGGAGCUGUCUCCCAGGGAAUAGGCUACCAAAUGUCACCGAUGAAUGAAUGCAGAGUAAAUUCCACCACCUCAACAUCUCUUUGCUCACUGUGCAUCCUCUCCUC